UCUUAUAUAUUUAUAUGGUUCACCCUACACCAUAUUUUGUUCAUCUUAGCAAAUAUUUCUUUCUUAUAAGCAAUGGCAGCUAAGGCAUUGAGUUCUAGUUUGGUGACCCUUCUCAUUUGCCAUCAUCUUGUCCCCGAUGUCAACAUGUCAUGCAGUUAGGUUUACUCAACGAGCUUCGGGACCAAUAUGUCCUGCUUGUGUUUGUUGCACACCUGCACCACCUGGCUCUUGUUGUCAGUGUUGCGCAACUCCUGUUGACACUCAAUCUAAGAAUGGCUCUCCAUGAUAGUACUAUUUACAUAUUUCAGGACUCCAUGAGAGCCAAAUUUCAAGAAUAAAAGUUGUUUAUACAAUGGUGACCAAGUUUCAAUGUUUUAUUAUGUUGUUGUUGUAAUUUGAUACCAAAUAUAUCAACGUUUUAAUUAUGAAUUUCUGCAAUUGAAUAUUGUUCAUUUAUUUUGGCUAUAAGAGAUGGAAACUCUGUUGUCCAUGCUCAUGCAAUGUUUGCUGCUGUGAUUAGGUCUAGUUUGUGUUGUAAUAAAUUCUCCCUCCGUCCUUUUUUGGAGGUGUGGUGGUUGAACAUUUCCUGUGCUUCUGUAUAA